GUAAGGAAUAUUGGACAAUGGACGCAAGUCUGAUCCAGCCAUGCCGCGUGAAGGAUUAAGGUCCUCUGGAUUGUAAACUUCUUUUAUAAGGGACGAAAAAAGGCUUUUCUAAGUCGUCUGACGGUACCUUAUGAAUAAGCACCGGCUAACUCCGUGCCAGCAGCCGCGGUAAUACGGAGGGUGCAAGCGUUAUCCGGAUUCACUGGGUUUAAAGGGUGCGUAGGCGGGCAGGUAAGUCAGUGGUGAAAUCCUAGAGCUUAACUCUAGAACUGCCAUGGAUACUAUCUGUCUUGAAUGUUGUGGAGGUAAGCGGAAUAUGUCAUGUAGCGGUGAAAUGCUUCGAUAUGACAUAGAACACCUAUUGCGAAGGCAGCUUACUACGCAUAUAUUGACGCUGAGGCACGAAAGCGUGGGGAUCAAACAGGAUUAGAUACCCGAGUAGUCC
rnacentral:rRNA from 1 species